CCUUGCAGACAAUUUCAUUAUCCUUUAACAGGGAGUGAAGUAUAACACCAAUACAGGCAGCAGGGGCAGAGUAUAGCACCUGAUGUCUGCUAAAAUCCAUAUGCAAAGACAAAUCAUUAAGUAAUCCCAGCUUCCUCUCCAUUAGACAGCAGGGAUUGCACUUCCAGCCCCCUCUCUUCCUCCCCCGUGCCCGUACCAGUAAGGAG